UACGGGGGGGGCAAGCGUUGUUCGGAAUUACUGGGCGUAAAGGCGCGUAGGCGGUUGGAUAAGUCAGCUGUGAAAACCACGGGCUUAACUCGUGGCCUGCAGUUGAGACGUGUCUGGCUUGAGUGUGGGAGAAGGAGAGUGGAAUUCCUGGUGUAGCGGUGAAAUGCGUAGAUAUCAGGAGGAACACCAGCGGCGAAGGCGGCGCUCUGGGCCGGAACUGACGCUGAGGAAGCGAAAGCGUGGGUAGCAAACAGG
rnacentral:rRNA from 1 species